UGAACGCUGGCGGCGUGCCUAAUACAUGCAAGUCGAGCGAACAGACGAGGAGCUUGCUCCUCUGCCGUUAGCGGCGGACGGGUGAGUAACACGUGGAUAACCUACCUAUGAGACUGGGAUAACUUCGGGAAACCGGAGCUAAUACCGGAUAAUAUAUUGAACCGCAUGGUUCAAUAGUGAAAGACGGUUUUGCUGUCACUUAUAGAUGGAUCCGCGCCGCAUUAGCUAGUUGGUAAGGUAACGGCUUACCAAGGCAACGAUGCGUAGCCGACCUGAGAGGGUGAUCGGCCACACUGGAACUGAGACACGGUCCAGACUCCUACGGGAGGCAGCAGUAGGGAAUCUUCCGCAAUGGGCGAAAGCUUGACGGAGCAACGCCGCGUGAGUGAUGAAGGUCUUCGGAUCGUAAAACUCUGUUAUUAGGGAAGAACAAAUGUGUAAGUAACUAUGCACGUCUUGACGGUACCUAAUCAGAAAGCCACGGCUAACUACGUG
rnacentral:rRNA from 1 species